GGGAGACACAGGGGUGUCUGGGUGGGUCCAGCAAGGACCGGGCAUCCCUUAGUGACCUGUGAGUGUGUGUUCCGUCCUAUUGCAGGACACCUUUCUUACUGGGAGUUGACAAAGUAAUAAAACCCUUGCUCUAGACCAUAGUUUGCAGAUAUCUUCACGAUGAUGGGUAACCCUCCGCACAAGAGAUGCUCUGGCCUCUGGGUGAAAAAUAAAAAAGAGAUAAUUCAAAUGAUCGAGCACCCAUCUCUUUGGAUUUGGGACCAUCAGAACGUGGGCUCUAAACUGCCAUUGUGGACCGGAAGUAAAACCCGUGAACACAGUGGCACCUGCCAGGAUCAGCCCCGGGAGGUUUGUCCCAGGCCUGCCCCUCUCUGGGCUUGACUGUCAUCUAACCCUCCUUGUGAGAGCCUUGGCUCCCCAGCGAGGCUGAAACCACGUGCAGGGCACGGUCAAGUCCUCGCUGCAGUGAUUCUUCCAGGAACAGCACGGAACGGCUGUUCCACAAAUGCUUUCCUGUGAGUCACGGAGGACCUGGAACACUCCUGAGCCGCGGGUCCCCACGCAGUGAGGACAGGGCAGGAGAGAAAGCCCACGUGUGGGUGUUCCUGUCUGGGCACAUCAGGAGUGCAGGGCGCCAGGGACCAGCUUGCAAGAAUCAGUGGGAACCCCUCCGGUCCCUUCGUCGUGGCGCGGCUGUCCCCACCGGGAACUCAGAUCCUUGGUCCGUGGCAGCUCCACCCAUAAGAACAGAGUAUGCUCCAUCUUCCAGGGUGGAAUAAAAGGGACACUCUCCUUUCUGAAAUCCUUUUAUGCUCUUGAAAACUUUUCACGCCCAACUGGCAAUCUCUGUGUGCUUGGGGAGUAAUUACCUUGCGUGCCUUUCUUUAAGUGAGGUCCUUCUAGGCGUCUUUGUUAUAGACUGUACCUUUUCUCCUCACCCCCUCACACCCCAGGAGGCUGGGCUUAGCCUCUGCUAGUGAGGCCUUGAUUGCUACUUUGUCAAGUAUCACUUAUCACUUUAUGCUUUAAAAUGUUUAAAGUGAAAUCAGAUCAACACGAUGGGAACUUUCAUAUGUUGUGGGUACAGCCUUAAAAAGCAAAAAUAAAUAAAUGAAUAAAUGCAUUGGUAAUAUAUUCAAAAGAUAUAAAAGCUAUAAAAUGAAAAUCUUUUUUUUUUUUUUUUUGUCUUUUCAGGACCACAUCCGUGGUAUAUGGAAUUUCCCAGGCUAGGGGUUGAAUUGGAGCUACAGCCGCUGGCCUAUGCCACAGCCACAGGAAUGCCAGAUCCGAGGUGUGUCUUCAACUUACACCAUAGGUCACGGCAACGCUGGAUCCUUAACCCACUGAGCAAGGCUCAGAAUCCAACCUGCAUCCUCAUGGAUGCUAGUCAGAUUCGUUUCCACUGAGUCACGAUGGGAACUCCAAAAAUGUCUUCUUUUGUAUAAUAUAUAUUGUUUCCAAGUUUUCUUCAUGUUGAUAUUGCUUGUCUUUGAGGAUUAUGAGCGAGGUAUUUUGUGAUGUCUCUUAGUUUGAGUGUGUAAACCCAUGCAGUGCCUGGUGGGGAGAAAUGGCAUAGAAAGGAUGCUGUGUUCGUCUUCUGCACCUUCACAGGUGGCCCGUGAAUUGAAUCUGUCCCAUUAGUGAAGAGGUCCACUCUGACCGCUCGAUCCAUCAAUUAAGGGAGUGUCUUCCAAUUUUCUCCAUUGUAAGUUACUUUCUCCCCUUGGGAGGCAUGAGGAAUUUGUGGGAAGAUAACUCUGAUUCAUGUCAAUAUUCUUUUCCUUUUCAAACUUUCCAUUUUUAUUUGUUGAUUUACAUGAGUUCGUUUUUUUAUUGAAUAAGUUGUAUGAGCUGUUUGUAUGUCUUGGAAAUUAAGCCCUGGUCAGCUUAAGAUUUUCUUCCAGUCCAAGGUUAUCCUUUUAUUUUGCAGAAGCUUAUAAGUUUGAUUGGAUGCCAUUUGUUUAUUUUUGCUUUUAUUUCUAUUGCCUUGGGAGAUUGAUCUAAGAAACCAUUGCUACGAUUUAUGGAUUUACAUGAGUUUGGACUCUUGUUUUCUUAUCUUAUUCAGUGGGUUAUAAUACGCUACUACCACUAUUUAUUUUGGAGCUCAAAUAGUCCCAGAUUUAGCUGGUGGGAGCCCCUUCCAGGUGGCGUCUGUAUCUUUUGAUGUCAGUAUCUCUACCUCAUGGGGCAGGUUUGAUCCUUGGCCUGGUGCAGUGGUGUAGGUUGCAGCUGCAGCUCAGAUACAGUCCCUGGCCCUGGAACUUCCGUGUGCCACAGGCGCAGCCAAAACAAGGAAGAAAGGUCUCUAUCUCCAUUUCCAUGUCUCUCUCUCUCUACCUAGGGAGACAGGGUGCACACAGAGCGAAGCAUGUCUCCAUUUGUAUUUUUCUAUGUUUACCCGUAUUCGUACCAACGCUUUCAUUCCAAUCCAUUAACAAUGCAAGGUUCAUUCUAAAUCUGCUCUUUUCUCAUAUUUGUAUCUCUCCUCCGACGGUGAAAAGCCUGGCUCUGUUUACACCUUGUACAUUUUUGGAUCAGUUUUUCUGUGUGUAGCCGACACCCCUACCUGCUGCCACUCCCUCCCCUGUGUGGACACUGUCCUCAUCUGUUCAGGCUCUGACACCCAGGUCUCGGCACCACAGCUUCCCCACCCUUGGCCUUGGCAAAGCUGCUGGUCCUGUCUACCCCCAUCUGAGAACUUUGGGACAGAACUGUUCAGGAAGGGAGCGGGAGGAGGAAGCAGAAGAGAAGGAGGAGGAGGGGCAAAGGAUAUCUGAACGCUGAUUUUGUUCCCAUCCACCUUAUCGACUCUUACUUUCAUUUAUAUUAUUUUCCCAAGGACCUCAGGUAGUCAGUCACAAAGAAUAGUAAUGUUACCUCCCCUUUCCAACUCUCAUACCUCCUUUCAUCUCAUCUAACUGUGCUUCGUGUUUUCGGGAAGGGAUCAAGCCUUACCAGGGAUGGAGACCUUAUGGGAACACUUCUUUCCUGUUCCUGCUUGUCAUAGUACUUCCUGGCAUUCGAGUAGAGACGGGGACUCUCAUCAGGGUGGUCUUUCUAAAAGGUAACCUGAUCACCUGGCACCCCCCCCCGCCCCCGUGUCACACCUUUGGAUGCAUCGACAGAGGAGUGGGUAGAGGAGAUGUGGUGCAGGUGCGCAGUGGGCUCUUCCUCAGCCAUAAAAAAGAAAGAGACGAUGCUAUCUGCAGCAACAUGGAUGGACACGGAGGUUAUCAUACUAAGUCAGACGGAAAGACAAAUGUCAUAUGAUAUUUGCAUGUGAAAUCUAAAAAAAUGAUACAAAUGAUCUAUUUACAAAACGGAAAGAGUCUCACAGGCAAAGAAAAGAAACUUACGGUUAUCAAAGGCGAAAGGAGGGUCGGGAAUAAGGAGCUGAAUGACUUUGCUGUAGGCCUGAAAUCAAAACAUCGUCAAGCAACUGUAUUUCAAUAAAACCUACGCCACGGCUCAUUGCAACGCCAGAUCCUUAACACAGUGAGUGAGGCCAGGGAUCAAACCUGCACUCUCAUGGAUGCUAGUCGCAACAGGAACUCCCAGUAGUUUUCUUUUUAAUAAAGAGUGGACAUUGGGGAGUUUCCGUCAUGGCUCAGUGGUUAACGAACCUGACUAGGAACCAUGAGGUUGCGGGUUCGAUUCCCCGCCUUGAUCAGUGGGUUAACGAUCCGGCAUUGCUGUGAGCUGUGGUAUAGAUCACAGAUGAGGCUCGGAUCCCAAGUUGCUGUGGCUGUGGUGUAGGCCGGUGGCUACCGCUCCGAUUGGACCCCUAGCCUGGGAACCUCCAUAUGCCAUGGGAGUGGCCCUAGAAAAGACAAAAAAAUAAAGUAAAAUAAAAAGUGGACAUUGGAUAUAGAAUUUUAAAAAUCGAAUUACUUACUAGCUCCUUAGAUAAUCAAAUGAUUUUUCACUUUUGAUCUAUUAUUUUAAGUCUCCUCAUUGACGAGGAAGCUUCUGAUGCAGUGGACUCUCGCGUAUCACUUGGUCAGGAGAGGUGACACAGAGAUGGCAUGGCAUUGAGGAUAUCUCCUGCUCCCUCUCUCCCUCUCCCGCCCCCACCCUCCCUCUCUCCCUCUGUCAUGGCAGCUCACCUUGGUGAACAUCUUAGAUUUGCAAAAACUGAAAAAUAAUCAGUGUCUUGAGCAUCUUUGGCCCAUUUUCUAGAACGCAUCUGGGUACGGGACUCCCAUGUGACAGUGUGAGCAGCCAUCAGCCUUGGUGAGCAGUUGGGCGUGUUAGGCUCUCUGCUUAUGCCUCAUCUGACAGCUGGGGUGUCCCUGGGGUUCAGAUGCCUUGUGCCUAGUGCAGUCGCUGGCACGGGGGCUCCGUACAUUUUUGAUGGUGAUGAGAGAGAGAGGAAUUAUAGGCAGUCUCCUGGGAAGUCCCACCAGCAUCACUCAAGUGGAACCGGUUGGAUGUUUGUUUUUAAAUUAUGACAUUUUGGCGGUAUUGUGCCCCGACUGUCUGUCUUUGGAAAAUUAAAGUGGUGAACUGGUAAUGACACACACAGAGUAGAAAAAGUGAUUGGAAGUUAGAGAAGUUAGGCCUCCUGAGAAGAGACAAAAGUCGCUCAGGUUGUGUGUUCCUGCCCUUGUGGGGGUCCCCGCUUUCCUCUGAAACCAGGGGGUGGGCAGUCGUGUGCUGACCAAGGCCUCUCCCGGGCCAGAGGGACCCAGAUUCUAAGUGCAGCCAGCCAGCUCUGGGAGGGCAGGGCACAGGAGUUACUGUGGGUAAAACUCGCCCAGCUUGCUGCAGGUUCCAUGGUGAGGGAGGGGGCUACAUUUGUAGGGAGGGUUUAGAGAUAAAACGAAGAAUUUCUUGGCAAUAACAGAGAGAAAAUAAUGAGAUGGUUUUGCUGGUAGAUUCCAGGCAAAGAGGCCACUGCAUUGGAUGCGCGGGUUUCCACCUGCCAGGAAACCGGGUAACUACCAUGUGGCUGGCACUCUGGCUGUCCCCGCUCUGCCUUCUUCCAACUUGGUGACUUGCUAUGUGUGACCCAGGGGUUUGAAGCUUGAGCUGAAUGCACAGCAUCUGCCCUCAAAGUGCUACCUGCAAGGUGCCCACGGGGCUGUUGCUGAGAGAGCACAGGGUAGGCACAGCUCCGAAGAGGGGCUUUCCUGUGGCCCAGGUGGUCAGGGGGUGAUGUCUGGCCUGUGUGCGGAAGUUCCAGGGAGGGGCAUCUAGGCCAAGAGGGAUGCGCCUGCCAGUGAUGCCAGGGUCUGCCUCUGCUGGGCACCAGUGGUCCUAUGGCAUCGUUGACGCUCCCUGGGCCUUGUUCUUUUUUUGCUAAAAUCACUUGCCCAUUUUCAUGCUGGACACUUUGGAUAAAACUUUCACCACAGUCCCUGCAGUUGGCUUUAUCCCGCCUUCUUAGAUGAGGAAAUUAAGACCCAAAGAUGUGAAACCCCUUGUGACAGUCACAUGUAGCGAGGAGGAAGUAAAGCCAGGCUUUGACCUUCAAAUCUUUUGGCUCUCGCUGGCUUUUAAAGUGCCAGCUCGUCCUCCGUGAAAAUGAAGGCGCUGGAGCACACUAGGCCUGCAUGUGUGGCAAGGGCAGAUUGCCUGGGGAGAUGUUCUGGAAACUAUGAAGCACUUUUCAAAUGUAAAGUCUGGAGUUCCCGUUGUGGCUCAGCAGUUCCCGUACAGCUCAACCAGUAUCCGUGAGGAUGCGGGUUCCAUCCCUGGCCUCGCUCAGUGGGUUACGGAUCCAGCGUUACGGUGAGCUGUGGUGUCGCUUGCAGAUGCGGCUCGGAUCUGGCAUGGCUGUGGCUGUAGGCCGGCAGCCGUAGCUCCGAUUUGACCCCCUAGCCUGGGAACCUCCAUAUGCCGCAGGUGCAGCCCUAAAAAGACAAAAAGACAAAAAGACAAAAAACAAAACCAAAAACAAAUGUGAAGUCUUGGUAAAUGAGGCAGAUUUACUUUACAGCCAGAGGUUCUGAGCUGCCCUGGAUCAGGAGUAAGACUGUUUUGCCUCUUUCUUCGUGUAAGUGUGUAUGUCAGCAUGUGCGUGAGUGUUUGUGUGUGUGUAAGAGAAAGGGUGAGGAAGAAACCACACAAAUCUUGAUGAAUUGCUUGAACAUGUUCAUUUUCAAGGGUGGAAAGGUUGGCUGCUUUCUUGCCAACAUCAGAAAAUGUUCCAUUCUGGCCCAUUGCUGUAGUUCUAAGAUCAGGUAGCUAGAAUAAUAAUUACAGCUUACGGGUGUGCAGACUCGUGCUUGUGUUGUAUUUUAAAUUAUGGAAUAACCAGGUUCAACGUACAGAAGGGCAUAAGCUGCGGGGCAGGUACUGGCUCACUGGCCAUAAAUGUGCCUCUGGCGGGUAUGCAAAGGCUUUUGGCCACAAGCAGGUGGCUUUCCCCCGCCAGGGAGUACGGUCGUGGCUUCCUUUUUUCCUUUUUUUUUUGGUCUUUCUAGGGCCACACCCGCGGCAUAUGGAGGCUCCCAGGCUAAGGGUCAAAUGGGAGCUACAGCUGCCAGCCUACACCAGAGCCACAGCCACGCCAGAUCCAAGCCGCAUCUGCGACCUACACCACAGCUCAUGGCAACACCAGAUCCUUGGCCCACGGAGCCAGGCCGGGGAUUGAACCUGCAACCUCAUGGUUCCUAAUUGGAUUUGUUUCCGCUGGGCCACGACGGGAACUCUGGUCAUGGUUUUCAAUGACUGGGUCAUCUGGUAGGUCUUGUGAACCUGAAUCUGUACAUAAAACCACGGAGUCGGUGGAUCUCUUGCCUUUGCUGGUGGUUUAGGACCCUGUGUGACGUGCCCGCAGCCCACCUGGGGGCCACGCGUCUGACUCGUGUCUUCCGGACACUUUACCACGUGCGCUGACAUCUCGUAGCAGGUGAUCCGUGUCUGGAAAAAGAGAAACUUGGGUCUCUUCAUGUCGUCUCUCGGGGCCUGAUGGAAAACACGUUUCUCCGUGACUUUGUGCAAACGUUCUCUCCCACCUGAAUCGCGCGGAAAAGCUGAACAUGGUGAUGGGGAGUGAUUCAGGGGUGGGCAUUCCCGGACACCAGCCGGGUCACCCGGGAGCCUCUCUCCUGCUGGUGGCCUGGCUGUGCGGGCCAUUCUGGCCACUGAGUCAGAGGAGACCCAGCCCACUUGCACUGUGGCUCCUGAUGUCACCAUCGAGGGUUAAAGGUCCUGCCCUGGAGUUCCCGUUGUGGCUCUGUGGGUUAAGAGCCUGACGUAGUGUCCGUGAGGAUGUGCGUUCAAUCCUUGGCCUCACUCAGUGGGUUAAGCAUCUGGCCUUGUCACAAGCUUCCACUUGUGUCUUGGAUCCCAUGUUGCCGUGACUAUGGCUGUGGCCGACAGCUCUAAUUUGACCCCUAGUCUGAGAACUUCCAUAUGCCUCAGGUUCAGCCUUAAAAAAAAAAAAAAAAAAAAAAAAAAAAA
rnacentral:lncRNA from 1 species